UCGAGCGGUACAGAGAGUAGCUUGCUACUCUGCUGACGAGCGGCGGAGGGGAGGUAAUGCUUGGGAAUGUACCCUUAUGGUGGGGGACAACAGUUGGAAACGACUGCUAAUACCGCAUAAUGUCUUCGGACCAAAGCGGGGGACCUUCGGGCCUCGCGCCAUAAGAUCAGCCCAAGUGGGAUUAGCUAGUUGGUGAGGUAAUGGCUCACCAAGGCGACGAUCCCUAGCUGGUUUGAGAGGAUGAUCAGCCACACUGGGACUGAGACACGGCCCAGACUCCUACGGGAGGCAGCAGUGGGGAAUAUUGCACAAUGGGCGCAAGCCUGAUGCAGCCAUGCCGCGUGUGUGAAGAAGGCCUUCGGGUUGUAAAGCACUUUCAGUAAGGAGGAAAGGUUGGAUGUUAAUAGCAUUCAGCUGUGACGUUACUUACAGAAGAAGCACCGGCUAACUCCGUGCCAGCAGCCGCGGUAAUACGGAGGGUGCGAGCGUUAAUCGGAAUUACUGGGCGUAAAGCGUACGCAGGCGGUUUGUUAAGCGAGAUGUGAAAGCCCCGGGGCUCAACCUGGGAACUGCAUUUUCGAACUGGCAAACUAGAGUGUGAUAGAGGGUGGUAGAAUUUUCAGGUGUAGCGGUGAAAUGCGUAGAGAUCUGAAGGAAUACCCGAUGGCCGAAGGCAGCCACCUGGGGUCAACACUGACGCUCAUGUACGAAAGCGUGGGGAGCAAACAGGGAUUAGAUACCCUGGUAGUCCACGCCGUAAACGAUGUCUACUAGAAAGUCCGGUUCCUCCGGGACUGGUUUUUCAAAGCUAACGC
rnacentral:rRNA from 1 species